rnacentral:rRNA from 1 species
UACGUAGGGUGCAAGCGUUAAUCGGAAUUACUGGGCGUAAAGCGUGCGCAGGCGGUUAUGUAAGACAGUUGUGAAAUCCCCGGGCUCAACCUGGGAACUGCAUCUGUGACUGCAUAGCUAGAGUACGGUAGAGGGGGAUGGAAUUCCGCGUGUAGCAGUGAAAUGCGUAGAUAUGCGGAGGAACACCGAUGGCGAAGGCAAUCCCCUGGACCUGUACUGACGCUCAUGCACGAAAGCGUGGGGAGCAACAGG